UAUAAUUUAUAUUCUAUAUUGUAUUAACUCUCCUCAUAUGUCCCCAAAUAUCAAUACCCACCAUACCUCCUAAACUCCAUUGAUAGCCCCAAAGCCUUAUUGUCUUCUUUGCCACACCGUAAGAGAAAGUACCCAAAUCUAAAAAUUGGGUUUGAGUUAAUGUUUUAGAUCUGAAAAUUUCCCUCUUAUAAGAGAAAAACUUUAUGGAAGAAACAUUGGAUGGUUUUAUAGUGCUUGAAAUCCAGUUGCUGCUUUGAUUCCCAAAUCGCACCUCGACUUCUCGACUGCUUGAAGGGAAAGCUGAACCCAAAUCCACCUCGACUGCUUGAAGCCAAAAAUUGGGAAAAGAUGAAAGGCAAAGUUUGCAACUGGAAUAACAAUGCAAAUAGGUACUCCUUGAACAACCACUUUCGGGACUUUCAUGUGUUUCAUAUUUCUUGAGUUUUCUUUACAAAUUCUUGAUUUUACCUUCUAAUGGGGCUUAAUUUUCAUAGUGAUUAGUAGCUCUCAAUAGUUGAAGAUUUGGUUGUAUUUGGGGGUUCAAUAUUUGGGUAAAUAGGGUUGUAUACUGCUACUACCUCUCUCAUGGUUUUUUCCGAUUGUUUUUUCAAUUUCUCAACAGCAAAUUUGUCGAACUGUAGAAUUCUUCGUUUACUGGUAGUGUAGGAAGAAAUCACUAUUGGUAGCUGAGGAGAAAUUGUUGUUGGUUGCUAAGGAAAAAAUUAUUAUUGGUAAGUAAUUUUUAAUUUAAAUUUUGGAUAAUUGAAUUUGUUGGUAGUGUACUUGUAUACUUCUUAUUUAAGAUUUUUUAUAAUUUUAAUUUUCUCUGUAUUUUCUUCCUUCCCCAUUCUCAAGACUACUCCUCGGAUUGGGAUUCUAUUUUGGGGUUUUCUUAAUUGUUGGUUGAGUGCUCUCCAACUUCUACUUAUGCUGUAGGAUGGUUUGAAUUAUAGGGGGUUUAAGGAUCCGAGUUUGUUUUAUUAAGAGGGUUUAUAAUUUAUAAGAGGGUUUAUAAUUUAUACUUUUAUUUUGGGCUAAAACUAGGAUGGGCUCUAACAUCCUCCAUUUUUGGUGUAGUUGUACAUUGCGGCAAAAGUUGCAUGAGAUGAGAAGUUGCUUGAGUUGAAAUAAUUUGAAUGAUAUUAUUUUGGAGAACAAAGAUUCAGUAGUGUCCUGGCAUGAUAUUACUUUGGAAAACUUCUCAAUAUUAAUAUCAUUCAUAUUAAUUUGAAAAACAUGUUAUAUGUCUGUUCAUCUUAUCCGAGAAACUGAAAAUAAGAGUUGUUGUAUUUGUGUAAUUUCUUUGAACAAAAGCCAUCUAUUAGCCUCCAUCUUCUUUGUGCAUGAAUUUGUCUGCGAUUAGUAUAACAAUUAUUAUCUAAAAAUUAUAGUCGUCAUAUUUAGGAUGCUAUUAGUAAGAUAUAGAAAACAUGCUUUAGAUGUUUUUUACUGUUCUUAUUUGAAAAUAUUUGUGUUCAGAAGUUUUGCUCAUAAAUAUUUUUAACUCUUUCAAGCCCAUGAUUGUAUGAAGAGGUACUGAUUUUUCUGGGUGAAAGUACUAAUAUUUUAAAAGCUUGUAUGUUUGAUAUAGUUAUUAGAAUCUCAUUUAAAAACUAAAUUCAAGUGGAAAUAAAAAAUCUUGCAGUAGACUGAAAAAUCUUUUGAAAACCAUAUAGUUUUAAAAGCUUGCAGUAGACUGAAAAAUCUUUUGAACUAGGAUGGAAAUAAAAAUUAUCCAUCUCUCAUCUAUGUGGAAAUGAUAUUGUUUUAAAGGUUUAAAUAGUUAUUUAGUCAGACAUACAAAUUGCAGCAUUCAAGUUAGUGUCUUUGUUUUAGCAGUUUCAGAAUAUAAUCCAUUUUCCUCGUCCUUUUAAUUUUUUUAUUUUUUAAUAAAAACAAACAUGGGUGGCUUGUGAAACUUGAAGUAGAAUUUAACAAGGAUUUGAGCAGUAGCUCAGUGGUGGCAAGGUUGCAACUCCAUUCUCCAAUACUUUAAGUGCAUGGUUCAAAGAGCAAUUUUAACAUGAGGAUCAUCUUGAACACUAAGUAGUUCCUUUUCUAAGUGAUUGCUCAUAACUAAUCGCAUAGAACGAUACUGAAAGUGAUUCUCUUGUCAAAACGUUUUAAGUGCACAACAUAUUUGGCAGCUAAAGUAUGAUACUAUCUUUAUACAUCAAAUGCACUUAAGUUACAUAACUUAAAAUUAUUUCUUGAUUUGAGCAAUUGCAUCGAUGAUGGAAUAAAUUUUGCAAUGGAUAAGCUUACAGUAAACUUAAGUGCAAAAUUUUAAGCUUGAUUUGAAUCUGUUGGGACAACUUUGCUGGUGAGAACUUGCUUAUCGAAUUAUUCUAUGCAUAAAGUAUGUAAGAUAAUGGAAAUAUAAAUGCUUAGUUCAUUGAUUAUUUAUAGUGUAUGCAAAGUAAUCAUGGCUUUUGAUACAACUCUAAGUUGCACGUACUGUUUCUAAGUUUAACCUGAACUCUAUGUCAUAUCAAUAACUGGAGUAACCUGAGACUCACUUGUACUUCUGAAUCUUGCAUGUCUAAUAGGCUUGGCGAAAAAGUUUGGAAUCUGAAAUAUCUGUCAUCAAAACACACACUUUUUGAUUUGGCAGCUUUCAGGAAUUUCUAUCAGGUUGGUUGCAUCUUAAUUCUAUAUCAGGAAUUAAAUAAUUCCAACUCCGACAACUAAAUAGAUGUCAACUCCAAAUGUUCAAGCAUGAUGUAGAAGUCAAAUAAUGCGUCAUUGAUAUGAUAUGUGCCUUAACUUUUCUAUUCUUUCAACAAGUAAUGAUAGUCUAACUAAUUGAUUGAUUCUAUCAGGUUUGCAUAUAAAGCUGUGAUGUCUAACUAAUUGAUUCUAUUCUUUCACAAAGUAAUGAUAGUCUCUCUAACUUUGUUCAGAGAAAAUAAUUGAUUAUAUUCUUUCUUUAGUAAAUUAAAACUAUUUUUUUAUGUGAAAGGUUGACUGAUUACAGAAAAGAUCAAGGUAAUAUAGACUUGUGAGGUGUAUACAAUGCAAUAUUGUUAAUGAUUUGAUAACUUACUUCUUAUUUAAUUUUUGAUUUUGAUAGAAAUUUGAAUAGUCAUGAGUCAGGAAGGGCACUCAAGUAAAAAUAAAAAGGCUAAAAAUUGCGUUGCAGACGGAUCACUUGCAUCUUUGUUGAACCAAA
rnacentral:lncRNA from 1 species